AUGUCAAAUAGUCCUAUUUUAUCUCUGCUUAAUGCAUCUAUUGUGAACAUACGCUUAAACGUAUUUUUCGUCAAUGGGAGAUUAUAUAUAGCAUCAGCUUAUUAUACUUAUUUGAGCAUUUUUUCUCUUAUAAAUGUUUAUUUGAUAUUGCAUCCGUACACCUUGGUGCGGUCAGUUUGCCAGGGGCUUCUCACGGCGCCCCGUAAUAUGGCAAAUAAAGUCCGAAAACUUUCAACAAUGCGGCACCCCGAACUUAUAGCACUAUAUGCAUUAGCUCCGAAUCAUGUCUUGGGUCUACAGUUGGGAUAA
rnacentral:rRNA from 1 species